rnacentral:rRNA from 1 species
GGCUCAGGAUGAACGCUGGCGGCGUGCUUAACACAUGCAAGUCGAACGAAGCACCUCUAAUCGAAGAUUGAGAAAGCUUGCUUUGAUUGAUUCACCUUGAGGUGACUGAGUGGCGGACGGGUGAGUAACGCGUGGGUAACCUACCCUAUACAGGGGGAUAACAGUUGGAAACGACUGCUAAUACCGCAUAAGCGCACGGGACCGCAUGGUCUAGUGUGAAAAACUCCGGUGGUAUAGGAUGGACCCGCGUCUGAUUAGCUAGUUGGUGAGGUAACGGCUCACCAAGGCGACGAUCAGUAGCCGACCUGAGAGGGUGACCGGCCACAUUGGGACUGAGACACGGCUUAAACUCCCACGGGAGGCAGCAGUGGGGAAUAUUGCACAAUGGGCGAAAGCCUGAUGCAGCGACGCCGCGUGAACGAAGAAGUAUUUCGGUAUGUAAAGUUCUAUCAGCAGGGAAGAAAAAUGACGGUACCUGACUAAGAAGCUCCGGCUAAAUACGUGCCAGCCGCCGC